UUUGCAUAUUUCUAAAUAGCGGAGGAAAAGAAACCAACAGGGAUUGCCUUAGUAGCGGCGAGUGAAGCGGCAAAAGCUCAAAUUUGAAAUCUGGCGCCUUCGGUGUCCGAGUUGUAAUUUGAAGAUUGUAACCUUGGGGUUGGCUCUUGUCUAUGUUUCUUGGAACAGGACGUCACAGAGGGUGAGAAUCCCGUGCGAUGAGAUGCCCAAUUCUAUGUAAGGUGCUUUCGAAGAGUCGAGUUGUUUGGGAAUGCAGCUCUAAGUGGGUGGUAAAUUCCAUCUAAAGCUAAAUAUUGGCGAGAGACCGAUAGCGAACAAGUACAGUGAUGGAAAGAUGAAAAGAACUUUGAAAAGAGAGUGAAAAAGUACGUGAAAUUGUUGAAAGGGAAGGGUUUGAGAUCAGACUCGAUAUUUUGUGAGCCUUGCCUUCGUGGCGGGGUGACCCGCAGCUUAUCGGGCCAGCAUCGGUUUGGGCGGUAGGAUAAUGGCGUAGGAAUGUGACUUUACUUCGGUGAAGURUUAUAGCCUGCGUUGAUGCUGCCUGCCUAGACCGAGGACUGCGAUUUUAUCAAGGAUGCUGGCAUAAUGAUCCCAAACCGCCCGUCUUGAAAAACGGGACCCAA
rnacentral:rRNA from 1 species